rnacentral:rRNA from 1 species
UAACCAGACUCCUACGGGAGGCAGCAGUGGGGGUUAUUGCACAAUGGGGGCAACCCUGAUGCAGCGACGCCGCGUGAGCGAUGGAGUACUUCGGUAUGUAAAGCUCUAUCAGCAGGGAAGAAGUUGACGGUACCUGAGUAAGAAGCCCCGGCUAACUACGUGCCAGCAGCCGCGGUAAUACGUAGGGGGCAAGCGUUAUCCGGAUUUACUGGGUGUAAAGGGAGCGUAGACGGCAGUGCAAGUCUGAAGUGAAAGCCCCGGGCUUAACCCGGGAAUUGCUUUGGAAACUGUACGGCUGGAGUGCUGGAGAGGUAAGCGGAAUUCCUAGUGUAGCGGUGAAAUGCGUAGAUAUUAGGAGGAACACCAGUGGCGAAGGCGGCUUACUGGACAGUAACUGACGUUGAGGCUCGAAAGCGUGGGGAGCAAACAGGAUUAGAUACCCCAGUA